rnacentral:rRNA from 1 species
CAGUCGCCACGGUAAUACGAAGGGGGCUAGCGUUGCUCGGAAUGACUGGGCGUAAAGGGCGCGUAGGUGGCGAUCAAAGUCAGGCGUGAAAUUCCUGGGCUCAACCUGGGGGCUGCGCUUGAUACUUGGUUGCUUGAGUGGGGAAGAGGGUCGUGGAAUUCCCAGUGUAGAGGUGAAAUUCGUAGAUAUUGGGAAGAACACCGGUGGCGAAGGCGGCGACCUGGUCCUUUACUGACGCUGAGGCGCGAAAGCGUGGGGAGCAAACAGGAUUAGAUACCCCUGUAGUCCCUGUCUCUUAUAC